rnacentral:misc_RNA from 1 species
UACGGAGGGUGCGAGCGUUGUUCGGAUUUAUUGGGUUUAAAGGGUGCGUAGGCGGCCUUGUAAGUCAGUGCUGUAAUACCCCGGCUCAACCGGGGGGGUGGCAUUGAUACUGCAGGGCUUGAGUAGAGAUGAGGUAGGCGGAAUUGACGGUGUAGCGGUGAAAUGCAUAGAUAUCGUCAAGAACUCCAAUAGCGAAGGCAGCUUACUAAACUUCAACUGACGCUGAUGCACGAAAGUGUGGGGAUCAAACAGG